GCAAAUCAAAUGGGUUCUCCUCUUCUUUAUGCCAUGGCAAAAUGUGCCAGGGGCUUUGUGAGCAAAUAGAAGACAGGGCCCUGAGGCAAACAGCUAACAGUUUAAGGCUAGACCAAACAGCAUGUGUUUGCAGGUAGCAAUCUGCAGGCUCUCAAGUCACCCUUGGAGCUGGGCCAUUCAGGCAGAUCACAGGUAGAACAAUGUUGCCUGUGUUCAGCUAACCUGGUGUAAUGAUACAAGCUCUAACCUGUAAUGCAGUGCAAUAUCCUGCAGCCGAGAGAUUUUUAUGCCGGUGAAGUUAAAUCAAUAAACUUGACGGCUGCUUCAGUAUGUGCCCAAGAGAAGAGCAGAAGAAACUAAUGAGAAUGAGCAGGACUCUGUAGUGAAAGCACUUUCUGUCUGAAGAACCCUGGCUUUGCUUGCUGAAGAAGGCUGUAAAUGCAUAAUGAAUGAGGCAGGAUGCUGCAGAAAGACAUAAAAUGGUCUCAGAGGAGAUGCUUGACGCCUUUGUGGAGAAAUAGGUUCUACAGCUUGCUCAGCCACAAACUUUGUCUCUCUCCCAUAAACUGAAAAUUUGACCACAAAGUGCAUGAUUCUCAUUUUCUUUAUGUCCAAGGGAAUAAGGGGUGGUGAGGAAACAAUGCUGGCUACUCACCACCACCCCACUACUGUACUUUUCAAGGCCAUGGAGUUGUGUGCACCUGCAGAAGGGAGUGGUGUUAAAUGCAGGAAAGCUGAAGCCAGGAUAUGUUUUACAGCAUGGCACUUAAAAUGCAAGAUCAUAAGAAAUGUUUGCAUUUUAAAAUGUUUUAUCUUAUGUUUAAAGGACAGUGUUUCUGGCAGGGGAAAAAAUAUAUAAGGGCAUUAAAUUGCUUUCUUUGCAGGCAAUUAAACAAUGAAGCCAGUAUGAGGCAUUUAAAUAAUUGUAACAGAUGUUUAUUGCCUAGUGCUGUUUACUGCAUCCUAUUAUUCCCUUUACAUACAGGAGAGAAGAACACAUGACAAACUAUACCAUAAAAGAAAUUCUUUACUGCUUUGUGAGCAAUGUGGCUGUUUCUCUGACUUCUUAAUUGAAUCACCUUGGGAACGAGUUGGUAAUAAAUAGUAUUUGGAGAGCAGGCAAGUGACUAACUGCCUGAAGCAGCAGCAGCAACUGGUGUGCAAAGACCUGGGGCUGGUGGUAAAUACCUCUGAGUAAACAAACUGCAGUGGGAUUGCUCCAAGAGUGAUGCUUGGCUCACUCUCCUUAAGGAUUUCAGUGCCUCCCAAGGCUGUGUGUUUUCUGGAGACUCUCUUUGCCUGAAAUAAUUUUCUGUGCUCCAUUGAGAGAGGAAAUAUAAGAUUCUAGGUCCUUGGAUGGACUUUGAUAGGACAUUUGUAAUCCCAUGUUACUACAAACCUGCUGUGUGGCUUUAUUUCCUGCAGCCCAUCCCAAUGAAGUAGGGAAACAUUUCAGUCUGCCCAAGAUGAUUUCUCACACCCAGUGUAGGGGUGGAUGUCCCCAGCCAGGCCAAAGGAGCACAGAGCCCCACUGCUUGUGAUGACCUCUGGCCUCUGGGGGAUGACUAGGAAAUGAUGAAGGACAAGUCUGUGUGUGUUGCUUCCCCCAGAUACUCUCCAAAGAUUUAUUUUGCAGAGACAGAUAUGUUUGCUAUGUGUUUAAUAAUGUAUUAAUUCAACCAAGUAACGAAUCUGUGUAUUUAUCAGUGGUUUUUUUCAUCCAUUCUUCUACUGAAGAAUGUCCUGCAGACAUUCAGUGUUCAGAACACUCUCUGUAAGGCUGUAGGAUAGUACAAGCUCUAGAUAAACUCAUAAGCUUCCUCAGCUAGCAAAAAAAAGGCUCUACCUUCUCAAAACAAAGAAAAAAAUCUUCAUCAACUCCCCUCCCAAUCCCAAACCCCCAAAGUCCUGUGACAUUUUAACUCUUGCCUAGUACUCCUCCUGUUAUCUU